rnacentral:lncRNA from 1 species
UCUGUAUGACAGGAAACAUGUUUAUCAAAAGAUACACUAACAGAUUGAUUUGCUGAGACUUGCUCAGUUGUCCUAACCACAUUUGGACUUUUAAUCUGACCUCCCAUAUAGGGAAAACCAGAAAGAGAUUCAAAUGCUGGAGAAAGGUUUCCGGGCAUUGUGUGCAUAGACGUUUCAUUAUUGCUACUUCCUGGAAUACCAAAUCUAUUAUUCCUCAACCCUUCCUGGGAGAGGUCGGAAGGUACAUAGAAGUUUCAUUAUUGCUACUUCCUGGAAUACCAAAUCUAUUAUUCUUCAGACCUUCCUGGGAGAGGUCAGAAGAUGGAAGUAAGGAUUGAGCCUGAUGAAUUAGACCUUGAUUCUUCUCACCAGUGUCAACA